UAAGUACUCCCUCCGUUCGGAAUUACUUGUCAUAGAAAUGGAUGUAUUUAGAAAUUUUUUAGUUUUAGAUACAUCUAUUUCUGUGGCGAGUAAUUCGGAACAGAGGGAGUAUGAC
rnacentral:pre_miRNA from 1 species